rnacentral:rRNA from 1 species
GACGAACGCUGGCGGCGUGCUUAACACAUGCAAGUCGAACGGAAAGGCCCUGCUUUUGUGGGGUUCUCGAGUGGCGAACGUGUGUGUAACCCGUGAGUAACCUUCCCUUUACUUUGGGAUAACUUCAGGAAACUGGUGCUAAUACCGGAUAGGAGCUCCUGCUGCAUGGUGGGGUUUGGACAUUUUCGGCGGUUGGGGAUGUACUCGCGGUUUAUUAGCUUGUUGGUGGGGUAGUUGCUUACCAAGGCUUUGAAGGGUAGCCGGCCUGAGAGGUGGAACAGCGACAAUGGUACUAAGGUACGGCGCAGAGUGCAAUGGGAGGCAGCAGGGGAGAGUAUUGCACAGUGGGCGGGAGCCUGAGGAGGCAACGUCGGGAGCGGGAUGAAGGUUAUGGGGGUGUAAACCGCAGUAGCCUGUGACGAAGCGGGAGUGACGGUAAUAGGAAAAGAAGCACCGGCUAACUACGUG